rnacentral:rRNA from 1 species
UACGGAGGGGGCUAGCGUUGUUCGGAAUUACUGGGCGUAAAGCGUGCGCAGGCGGUUUGGUAAGUCUGCUGUGAAAUCCCCGAGCUCAACUUGGGAAUUGCAGUGGAUACUGGCAAGCUGGAGUACGGUAGAGGAAGGUGGAAUUCCCGGUGUAGCAGUGAAAUGCGUAGAGAUCGGGAGGAACACCAGUGGCGAAGGCGGCCUUCUGGACCAGUACUGACGCUCAUGCACGAAAGCGUGGGGAGCAAACAGG